AGCUUUGCGCCGUGGCAGUAUCGUAGCCGAUGAGGUUUAUCCAAGGCACGGUUAUUGCUAAUUGAAACCUUUUCCACAUACCCCGCCACGACGGCUUGAAAUAGAGUCGGCCCUGGCAAUUUUUGACCGUCUCUACGGAGA